AGUGCGUGGACGACUAACUACAAGAUCGGACUAGUCACUUUGCUACAUGGCAACGAUGAAACAAAUCAUGUGGGUCAUCAUCCUGGUGUUACUUAUCAUCGCGCACUUUGGCAACGUCGCAGCCUUGUCAUACGAAAGAGUUUUCGACUAUGAGGUCCAUGAGUACGACGAUGACUACUCCUACGGUGACUGCACUGGAACUCUGGUGCG